GACGAACGCUGGCGGCGUGCCUAAUACAUGCAAGUAGAACGCUGAAGGAGGAGCUUGCUUCUCCGGAUGAGUUGCGAACGGGUGAGUAACGCGUAGGUAACCUGCCUGGUAGCGGGGGAUAACUAUUGGAAACGAUAGCUAAUACCGCAUAACAGUAGAUGUUGCAUGACAUUUGCUUAAAAGGUGCAAUUGCAUCACUACCAGAUGGACCUGCGUUGUAUUAGCUAGUUGGUGAGGUAACGGCUCACCAAAGCGACGAUACAUAGCCGACCUGGGAAGGUGAUCGGCCAAACUGGGACUGGGACACGGCCCAGGCUCCUACGGGAGGCAGCAGUAGGGGAUCUUCGGCAAUGGACGGAAGGCUGAACGAACAACGCCGCGGGAGUGAAGAAGGGUUUCGGAUCGGAAAGCUCUGUUGUAAGGGAAGAACGAGUGUGAGAGUGGAAAGUUCACACUGUGACGGUAUCUGACCAGAAAGGGACGGCUAACUACGUG
rnacentral:rRNA from 1 species